AUUGAACGCUGGCGGCAGGCCUAACACAUGCAAGUCGAGCGGAUGAAGGGAGCUUGCUCCUGGAUCCAGCGGCGGACGGGUGAGUAAUGCCUAGGAAUCUGCCUGGUAGGGGGGGAUAACGUCCGGAAACGGGCGCUAAUACCGCAUACGUCCUGAGGGAGAAAGUGGGGGAUCUUCGGACCUCACGCUAUCAGAUGAGCCUAGGCCGGAUUAGCUAGUUGGUGGGGUAAAGGCCUACCAAGCCGACGAUCCGUAACUGGUCUGAGAGGAUGAUCAGUCACACUGGAACUUGGACACGGUCCAGACUCCUACGGGAGGGAGCAGUGGGGAAUAUUGGGCAAUGGGCGAAAGCCUUGUCCAGCCAUGCCGCGUGUGUUAAGAAGGUCUUCGGAUUGUAAAGCACUUUAAGUUGGGAGGAAGGGCAGUAAGUUAAUACCUUGCUGUUUUGACGUUACCAACAGAAUAAGCACCGGCUAACUUCGUG
rnacentral:rRNA from 1 species